GACGAACGCUGGCGGUGUGCUUAACACAUGCAAGUCGAACGGUAAGGCCCUUUCGGGGGUACACGAGUGGCGCACGGGUGCGUAACACGUGAGUAACCUGCCCUCAUCUCUGGGAUAACAGUCGGAAACGGUUGCUAAUACUGGAUAUGAGCUUGCAAGGCAUCUUGUGGGUUGGAAAGAUUUUUUUUGGUUGGGGAUGGACUCGCGGCCUAUCAGCUUGUUGGUGAGGUAGUGGCUCACCAAGGCUUCGACGGGUAGCCGGCCUGAGAGGGCGACCGGCCACAUUGGGACUGAGAUACGGCCCAAACUCCUACGGGAGGCAGCAGUGGGGAAUAUUGCACAAUGGACGGAAGUCUGAUGCAGCAACGCCGCGUGCGGGAUGACGGCCUUCGGGUUGUAAACCGCUUUCAAUUGUGACGAAGCUUUUUUGUGACGGUAGCAGUAGAAGAAGCACCGGCUAACUACGUG
rnacentral:rRNA from 1 species